rnacentral:rRNA from 1 species
UACGUAGGGUGCGAGCGUUAAUCGGAAUUACUGGGCGUAAAGCGUGCGCAGGCGGUUUUGUAAGCCAGAUGUGAAAGCCCCGGGCUUAACCUGGGAAUGGCAUUUGGGACUGCAAGGCUUGAGUGCGGCAGAGGGAGACUGGAAUUCCUGGUGUAGCAGUGAAAUGCGUAGAUAUCAGGAGGAACACCUGAGGCGAAGGCGGGCUACUGGGCCGAUACUGACGCUGAUGCGCGAAAGCCAGGGAGCAAACGGG